rnacentral:rRNA from 1 species
AAUGAACGCUGGCGGCAUGCCUAACACAUGCAAGUCGAACGGAAUCCAGGGUUCAAGCCCCUCGGGUCAAAGGGGGGAAGGGUGAGUGGCGCAUGGGUGCGUAACAAGUGGGCGACCUGGGUCAUAGAAGGGGAUAAUAGAGAGAGAAUUCUGCUAAUGCAGCAUAGGCAGGGACUGCCGCAUGGCAGAGGGUGGGAAGGGUAACGCGCUGAGAAGGGACCGCGUCUGAUUAGGCAGUUGGCAGGGUAAGAGCCUACCAAAGCGACGAUCAGUAGCCGGUCUGAGAGGAUGAACGGCCACACUGGGACUGAGACACGGCCCAGACUCCUACGGGAGGCAGCAGUGGGGGAUAUUGCACAAUGGGGGGAACCCUGAUGCAGCGAUGCCGCGUGAGUGAUGAAGUACUUAGGUAUGUAAAGCUCUAUCAGCCGGGAAGAUAAUGACAGUACCGGAAGAAGAAGCCCCGGCUAACUACGUG